rnacentral:rRNA from 1 species
AUGGCGGUGAUCGGAAGCCUCAAACUACUACUAAACAUCACGUUUUCCCCACAUGUUCAUUCUCCUGCCGUAGGUGAUAGUAUAUUACUGCAGGAUGGGAGGGUGGCAGUAUGGUCCCUUGAGCCACCCGUCGGCGACGAGCCUGUUCACCGCCUCCGUCGGGUGCACGCCGUCCCAGGACUCGUGCCUCCACGGGUCGCCGCACGCAGUGGCGCCCUUCAUCCCGCACCGUGCGUCCAACUGGAAGUUGUACGGGCCGCCGCCCGCGCCGCAGCAGGCCGCGACGGGCGUGGUGAAGCCGAAGCGCGCCGGGUCGCGGAGCAUGUCCAUGGCGUAGGCGUAGUAGUCCGCGUACAUGAUCCUCGCCGCCGGCCCGUGCCUGGCGCGGGCGCGGUUCAGCCUGUCCUGGAGCAGCGAGUUGUGGUACAUGACGAGGUCGUUGAGCGGCUUGAGGCAGCCAUGCUCGUCGUAGUCCGACUUGUCGCGGCUCGGCAGUAUGGUGAGGUAGAGCGCGACGCACCCUAUGGGCAGCGUCCCCGGCACCACGAUGUCCACCGCACCCAGCUCGAUCAGCCUCUCGAGGGCGGCGGCGAUGUUGUCGACGACGUUGGGGGCGUAGCUUCUGGCCCGGCUGACGUUGAAGCCGAAGAAGAGCAUGGCGUUGUAGUCGUUGCCGCCGAUGGAGCCGAGGAGGAAGAGGGACCUGGCGAGGUAGGGCCUGCAGCUCUGCGGCCCGCCGCAGACGCGCGGGAGGAGGUCGCGGAACCACUGAAGCUGCACGUUGAUGGCGCCGUUGUUCCAGAUCGGGUAGCCGAGGCCGAUGGACUUGAGGAAGUCGAAGUCCAGCGCCGUGGCGCCCACGAUGGCCAUGUUGGCGCCCUUCCGGAAGUCGGCGCCGGGGAGCUUGGACGGGGGAAGGAAAGGGAGGCCGAGGGACUGCGCGAGGAAGUCCACGACGAGCCGGCCGUCGGAGCAGCGGCAUGUGGGGUGGCCGAAGUAGGUCAUGCCGUAGGGCGGGUUGGCGAAGGUGAGCAGGAGCUCCUCCGCCGCCGACUUGUUCACGCACAGGUUGCCCGUGUCCGACAGCGAGUCGCCGAAGUUGAACAUGGCGUUGUACCGCAUUGCCCCGCCGUCUCCGUCCGCGGCCGCGAGCAGGAAGACGCAGCUGGCGCCGAGGAGGAGGAGGCCAGCGGCGGCAAUGGCGCUAGUGAUUCGCCGAGCCAUGGCUAG